rnacentral:rRNA from 1 species
UACGUAGGGGGCUAGCGUUGUCCGGAUUUAUUGGGCGUAAAGAGCGUGUAGGCGGCCAGGUAGGUCUGCUGUGAAAACUCGAGGCUCAACCUCGAGACGUCGGCGGAAACCAUCUGGCUAGAGUCCGGAAGAGGAGAGUGGAAUUCCUGGUGUAGCGGUGAAAUGCGCAGAUAUCAGGAAGAACACCCGUGGCGAAGGCGGCUCUCUGGGACGGUACUGACGCUGAGAUGCGAAAGCCAGGGGAGCAAACGGG